GUUUCCGUUCCGUGGUUCGUGGCCAGUAAAAACUGCUUUCGAAAGAAGCGGUGGGAGAGACGCGUGAAGGAUCCUGGAGCCAGCAUUCAGUGUGCUGCUCCCGUCUAUAAAUACGCCUACAAUCAUCGUUCAGUACUCGUUAUAUGAUCAGAAGGGAAAAAAGAGAACACCAAAAGGGGAAGUGUGGAAGGACGGAGCUCUUGCACAUAUUCCAUGCCUUUUUUAGUUCUUUCCCUUUUCAGGCUAUUCUUUUGAGAAAUAAGGGGGCGGAAAAACGGAGUUGUCUUUUUAUUGGAGGAAGGGACGAUGACCAGGCCUUCUGGGGAUGCUGGUAAAGAGGGGCAGGCACUGUGGUGCUGUUGACAGAAGAUAGAGAGCACAGAUGUUAGAGUGCAAUUGGUGCUUUGCAUUUUACUCAUUCGUGCUCUCUAGCCUUCUGUCAUCACCCCUCCCUCUCUCUCUUUCUUUCCUCUCUUUCUAUAUCUCCCCAAUACUUUUUUGCUCCGGGUUCUGCUUUUGAUGUGUCACAAGACUGUAGACGCCAAUGAUUUGUUAUUUUCUUUUGCAGGUUUCUGAAUCCGCCUUCCGGAUGUGGGGAGGCGUGCUCCUUCGGUCAUACGCUUUUGAUGGGACGUCUCAGGGCGAAACAACGGCGACUUUUUUGAUUUGAGCUUCUCGUGCUGGGGUUUGCUGUAUUUUUUUUUUGAACGAAGGGCCUGACCUGUGAUUCAAGCUUGUUCUCGAGAUGUAUUUUGUUUAACUGCCCUGUACUAUCUGCUCCCCCUCAUUCUUUGUACUGAGUUUUCAAAGAGAGCAAAAGAAAUGGGGUUCGUUCACUCUGACGCCGUGGGCGUGUUGCGUGCGAUCUUCUAUGCAAUGACGUCCUGAGUUUAUCGACAUCCAGUACUGAUUUCUGUUUCAUUGGUCUGUUUUUUCCAUGAGAAUAGCACUGAUUCUCUUCCUUUUCUUCCCCUCUUCUAACAUAUUGUGUAUGCACUUCUUUUAUUGUGUAUGCACUUCUUUUAAGUUUUGAAACUUGUUACAAGCGAUGGCUUGUACGUGCAUUUGAUGGUCUUGGGUCUUAUCCGAUCGAAGACCCCACAAAGCUUGAAAUCCUUAUUAAUUUUUUCAUGUUCAAAUCAGACCCUUUCUUAAUGUAAGAGGGAAACAUCUCAAUUGUUGAAAGGCUAUGGAUAUCAAGUUUGAUUCAAAAUUUGGCAAUAUCUUUCUUGAACAUAUCUUGUAUCUUUGUCUAGAGAUCUCGCCGUACCAACAAAGUCAUGUGUCAUACAGAAAAUUCAAAGUCAAAGAUCUAAAGUUUUCAAUAGACUAAAGGUCCUGAAAUAUAUUCUUGAACAUCUUGUUGCAUCGAACGGUAUAGAGACAUAGAGGCUUGUUUUUCUAGGAUGUUUGAGGGGAGCUCAUGGCAACAAUGUUAUCCGUCUCUUGGAAAUCAAUGUUACCCCAUAUUUUGUCCCUCGAUUUUCCCUUUUUUUAAGACGAUGAAAGCUUUCUCCUGAAUUUAUAGGGCAUGAUCACGAGACAUUUCUUGCUUCCAGUACACAAGUAGAAAGGCAUCUGCAAAUAACUUCUCCAUGUCUGUCGGUUUUCGUAAAAAAGGAGCGGCGGUAAGCCCUAGCUUGUUUUUCUCACGGUGGAGAGACUAUCGAAGAGAGAGGCACUUCUGCACGGCUUCCUCCUGUGGAUAAGCAUUACAGGUUUAUUGGGAAUACCACAAAAAUGUACAUUUUCACCUUCUGUAGCGUCACAGAUAGGCGACAAUUACUCUUCUUCCAUGAAAUGAUGGCAGCACGAAGCGUCCGGCACUGAAAUGGCCCUUCAUGUCUUGAAAAGCCGAUCCUUAUCUUAGAGCGGGGACCCUUCUGAGCUUUUGUCAUCUAUUCCUGUUCAGAGCUCGCGAACAGCUCCUUGGCGAAGGUGACUGCAGUCUUAAAUCAUGCGAUGAUAUCGAGUUCAAGCAACACGCCACACCAAUCAGUCGCCUACGCUUGGCCGCUCCUGUAGUGUUCCGACAUUAAAUUAAGAAAGCGGGAAAAGGCUAGUUGCAGCAACCAUGUCCAACUUGACUCUAUAAUCUUCUUCCGGUCGGAAGGUUGAUGAAUUAUGCAGGUGAAAUAUACUAUGAAGCACUUCACUUUAAGUGGACCAACAGAAUACAUUGUAUGCUGGAUGAACGAGGCUAUUUGUCAGUUUUCCUAAUGAAUUUGGGCAGAUGUUAUUUUACAAAUAAAUGCAUGGCCAUCAACUGUCGUCAAUCUCAAGGUUAUUUGGAUGUACUACAUGUGUCGGCUGGAUCUAGGUUAUUGCAGAAGGAACAGAUGAAGAUGAUUUGGUGCCCAGUUCAGGCAAGCAGAAAAAGCGGCGGGAGAAAUCGGUAGUGGAAUCGAGGAAAAAGAGGAGCGCCACGAGGACGCAGCUGCAGGCGAGCAUGGGUAUGGGGCCGAACGU